GUUCUGGAUUAUCCAGAAUUCAUUUGUGAGUGAGAGAAAAAUAAAGAGCAGGGAAUGAGACAGGGGCUGGAAAAGAAUAAAGGAUGAGUAAACCAAUUACCCUCUUUUUCUUCCCAGCCACCACAGGAUCUCGCUGAGAAAAUAUCAAGAUAUUGGUUCCACCCAGAAAUAAUAUUAUGAUGGUCCACAUAAUUUCAGACCUUCAUCAAUGACAGACGGUGUGUUAAAUUCCUCUCAUGGAAUCCUCACAACCCUAUGAAACAGACUCUUGUGAGCUCCACCUUGCAGAUGAAGAAACAGAGACUCAGAAUAAUGGCAUUACAACCAGCAGUGAGACUCAGGAGACUCAGAAUAAUGGCAUUUGAGUCUGUGGAAGAAAUAGAAAUUGGGCAGGAUUUCAAAGGACGGUCUUGACAUUUAGAUGCAAAGAGUCAGACAGUGAGAGAAAAAGAAAAGGAAGACUCAAGUUUUGGCGUGGAUUAGUGGAUCAAUAUGUUAUCAUCAUUCAGGAUGGAAGAUGCAGAAAGAAUAAACACUGCAGGGACAGAAAGUGUGACACCUCUUCUCACCCAUCAUUGGGUUUACAACUGAACUCCUACAAUAAAAAGCAGGUUAACAAAAGAGAAAAGAAAAACAAAAGUUAUUUAAUCAAAAUCCUACAUAACAUGGGAGCCUU
rnacentral:lncRNA from 1 species